rnacentral:misc_RNA from 1 species
GAUGAAGAACGUAGCGAAAUGCGAUAAGUAAUGUGAAUUGCAGAAUUCAGUGAAUCAUCGAAUCUUUGAACGCACAUUGCGCCCGCCAGUAUUCUGGCGGGCAUGCCUGUUCGAGCGUCAUUACAACCCUCAGGCCCCCGGGCCUGGCGUUGGGAUCGGCGGAAGCCCCCUGCGGGCACAACGCCGUCCCCCAAAUACAGUGGCGGUCCCGCCGCAGCUUCCAUUGCGUAGUAGCUAACACCUCGCAACUGGAGAGCGGCGCGGCCACGCCGUAAAACACCCAACUUCUGAAUGUUGACCUCGAAUCAGGUAGGAAUACCCGCUGAACUUAAGCAUAUCAAUAAGCGGAGGA